rnacentral:misc_RNA from 1 species
GCAAACUUGGUCAUUUAGAGGAAGUAAAAGUCGUAACAAGGUUUCCGUAGGUGAACCUGCGGAAGGAUCAUUAACUGCGAGCAUGCAUCUGCAUGCGUCAACCUGUGCAUUGUUUUCUUUUUUUCCUGGCGGUGCGACUUGCGCAGCUGCUACGACAAAAAGCUGAAGCCAGAAUGAUAGCCCGGUAGGGUUAGGGUUUGGUCUUUGCUUUGUUCGUAGUAGGUGCGACUUGUCGCACCACCAGGAAAAAAGAAAGAAGAGAAAACGAGUCUUAAGAGUUGUAGUAUACAACUUGCAGCAAUGGAUCUCUAGGCUCCUGCAUCGAUGAAGAACGCAGC